CAGUCGCCGCGGUAAUACGUAGGUCCCGAGCGUUGUCCGGAUUUAUUGGGCGUAAAGGGAGCGCAGGCGGUUUAGUAAGUCUGAAGUUAAAGGCAUUGGCUCAACCAAUGUAUGCUUUGGAAACUGUUAGACUUGAGUGCAGAAGGGGAGAGUGGAAUUCCAUGUGUAGCGGUGAAAUGCGUAGAUACAUGGAGGAACACCGGUGGCGAAAGCGGCUCUCUGGUCUGUCACUGACGCUGAGGCUCGAAAGCGUGGGUAGCGAACGGGAUUAGAUACCCCUGUAGUCCCUGUCUCUUAUACA
rnacentral:rRNA from 1 species